rnacentral:rRNA from 1 species
GUACACUCCUGCGGGAGGCAGCAGUGGGGAAUUUUGGACAAUGGGCGAAAGCCUGAUCCAGCAAUGCCGCGUGUGUGAAGAAGGCCUUCGGGUUGUAAAGCACUUUUGUCCGGAAAGAAAUCCUUGGCUCUAAUACAGUCGGGGGAUGACGGUACCGGAAGAAUAAGCACCGGCUAACUACGUGCCAGCAGCCGCGGUAAUACGUAGGGUGCGAGCGUUAAUCGGAAUUACUGGGCGUAAAGCGUGCGCAGGCGGUUUGCUAAGACCGAUGUGAAAUCCCCGGGCUCAACCUGGGAACUGCAUUGGUGACUGGCAGGCUAGAGUAUGGCAGAGGGGGGUAGAAUUCCACGUGUAGCAGUGAAAUGCGUAGAGAUGUGGAGGAAUACCGAUGGCGAAGGCAGCCCCCUGGGCCAAUACUGACGCUCAUGCACGAAAGCGUGGGGAGCAAACAGGAUUAGAAACCCGAGUAGUCCCAUG